rnacentral:rRNA from 1 species
UACGGGGGGGGUAAGCGUUGUUCGGAAUUAUUGGGCGUAAAGAGCUUGUAGGCGGUUUGUCGCGUCUGCUGUGAAAUUUCGGGGCUCAACCCCGAACUUGCAGUGGGUACGGGCAGACUAGAGUGUGGUAGGGGAGACUGGAAUUCCUGGUGUAGCGGUGAAAUGCGCAGAUAUCAGGAGGAACACCGAUGGCGAAGGCAGGUCUCUGGGCCAUAACUGACGCUGAGAAGCGAAAGCAUGGGGAGCGAACAGG